AUUGAACGCUGGCGGCAGGCUUAACACAUGCAAGUCGAGCGGAGAUGAGGUGCUUGCACCUUAUCUUAGCGGCGGACGGGUGAGUAAUGCUCAGGAAUCUGCCUAUUAGUGGGGGACAACAUUCCGAAAGGAAUGCUAAUACCGCAUACGCCCUACGGGGGAAAGCAGGGGAUCUUCGGACCUUGCGCUAAUAGAUGAGCCUAAGUCGGAUUAGCUAGUUGGUGGGGUAAAGGCCUACCAAGGCGACGAUCUGUAGCGGGUCUGAGAGGAUGAUCCGCCACACUGGGACUGAGACACGGCCCAGACUCCUACGGGAGGCAGCAGUGGGGAAUAUUGGACAAUGGGCGGAAGCCUGAUCCAGCCAUGCCGCGUGUGUGAAGAAGGCCUUUUGGUUGUAAAGCACUUUAAGCGAGGAGGAGGCUACCUGGAUUAAUACUCUAGGAUAGUGGACGUUACUCGCAGAAUAAGCACCGGCUAACUCUGUGCCAGCAGCCGCCGUAAUAC
rnacentral:rRNA from 1 species